AGUCGUUACAUGGAUUCGUACUUUCAGUAUCAUGUUGAUGAACAUUUUGUAUCGUUUGCUCUACCAUUUUCAUUUCAUUGUCGUACGAUAUCUUUUCCAUACAGCUGUAUGACUGUGUGUUUUUGUUUGGGAAUGCUUGAAAAAAAUACUCAUGCGGAUAGUGGGAAAAAAUGUUACACAUUCGUCACCAUUCCUCCUAUUUCAAUAUCUAAUUUAUUAAUUUGUUUGAUAUGAGCAAUUUAACUAUUAAACAGCCGGUGUGUUCAAUUUAAUUACAUAUUUGCCCAGAAAAUAAUAAACAACGCCACGAACGGUUAACAAUUUUGACCAUCAGAAGAUGAAAAUUCAACCACAUUCUGAUGUUUGACCCCCACCACAAAUGGGGCGGUCCAUGCACAUGCCGAUGUUAUUUAUUCCUCUUUCUGCUUUACACACCAUCGUGCGUUAAAUUCUAUGCUUGCUCCUGUUGACUUAUGUACAUGGGCCAACAUUAUGUGUCAACAUUCGACAGUGGUCGGUCGGUUUUGUACGCGCAUCCCAGAAACAGAUCGUUGUGUGAGUGUGUGCGUGUGUUUAUUUUUUAAAGUGAUAACAAUUUCUAAGUGAAAAUGAUUCCUUACGCAAAGCGAUAUCUUCAUUGCUGUGGGUAGUAUGUGCUAUAGCAUCCGAAUAUAAAAAUGUGAAAUUAUGAAAUUAUUAUGAAAGGUUUUACAUGUGUAGUUCCUGCUAGUGAACUAACUAGUUUUGUUUGUGUAAAAUAUGAGAAAAUUGCGUUACAGAUAUAAAAUAAGUCAAAGUGCUAGUUGAAAAUUCGUGGAAUGUGUCCAUAAUUGCUAUUGCAGAAGUCCAUAUUGAUGAUGGUAAAAGGAGUAAAAUAAUGUGAAAAUCAUGUGUUAUUAAGUAGUGAAUCGUAGUUUCGAAACUUUUGAGCGAUAAGCGAAGGUUUUUUUGUUGUUGCUGCCGAAACAUUACACAAUACGAACACCUUGACAUCCUCAGGAAUGAAAAUGAGUCAGCUGGGAACAGUUUAUGCCACCAAAAGGAGGCGCCGCAAUGGCAAAAGCAUCAAGGCAACUCCGAAAGAAGGCAUCACCAAGAGCAACCCUUCCAAACGGCACCGUGAACGACUGAAUGCUGAGCUGGAUCUGCUUGCCUCGUUGCUACCAUUCGAGCAGAACAUAUUGAGCAAACUGGACAGAUUAAGCAUUCUGCGGCUGUCGGUCAGCUACCUGAGGAUUAAAAGCUAUUUCCAAGUUGUGAUGCACAAAGAAAAGGGCGAAAAUGGCCUGGUAACACAUUCCGCUUCCGACGAAAGCUAUCGUGCCCGGGAUUUUACUUCCUACGAUCAUAGUUUCAUUGUCGACAGCGAUAUGUUUUUACAGGCAUUAAACGGUUUUAUUAUGAUUCUUACCUGUGAAGGAGAAGUCUUUUUUGCAACACACACCAUUGAAAGCUAUCUUGGAUUUCAUCAGUCGGAUAUCAUUCACCAAUCCGUAUACGAGCUGGUACAUUCGGAAGAUCGCGAAGAGCUGCAGAAGCAAUUGCUGUGGAAUUCUUUUCUACCGGCCGAUCUCUCCGGUAUUCAACUGUCGGAAGCGUUGGUGCCGGAAAAGGACAAACUAUUGGAGCGUAGCUUUACCGUCCGGUUUCGCUGUCUGCUCGACAAUACAUCCGGUUUUUUGCGCUUAGACAUACGAGGACGGGUUAAGGUAUUGCAUGGUCAGAACAAAAAGAACGAGGAGCCACCAUUAGCGCUGUUUGCAUUCUGCACACCAUUUGGGCCGCCUAGUCUGCUCGAGAUUCCACCCAAGGAGAACAUGUUUAAAUCGAAACACAAGCUAGACUUUUCGCUCGUGUCUAUGGAUCACAAAGGCAAAAACACACUCGGCUAUUCGGAUUCGGAACUAGCAAAUAUGGGUGGAUACGAUCUGGUGCACUACGAUGAUUUGGCAUACGUAGCAAGUGCUCAUCAGGAAUUACUGAAAACGGGAGCCUCUGGUAUGAUUGCAUAUCGCUAUCAGAAAAAGGACGGUGCAUGGCAAUGGCUGCAGACCAGCUCUAGGUUGGUGUAUAAAAAUUCAAAACCCGACUUCGUUAUCUGCACCCACCGGCAGCUAAUGGAGGAGGAAGGUCGUGAUCUGCUAGGCAAGCGGACGAUGGAUUUUAAAGUAAGCUAUCUGGAUGCGGGCAUCUCUUCGACCUACUUCGAAUCGGAUCAGCUGAUCGUUAGCUCAAACAACAGCAGUGCACCAAGCUCACCGACGACCUCCCAACAACGUGCCAACCGGCGUUAUAAAACACAGCUGCGCGAUUUUCUCUCCACCUGUCGCCAUAAGCGUAAAUUGCCCAACCAAUGCACCGCCGAACAGGUUUCUCCCAGUGUCUCGGUCGUGGAUUAUAUCCCUGGUGGACCGCCAGGUACGGCGGCGGCGGCUGCUGCAGUUGCUGCGGCUGCCUAUUCGAACAGCAUCAACAGCGUGUAUUCACCGGCAGCCCAUUUCCCCGGCUCGGCACCGGACAACGUGUACAUGGCUGGUCCGGUUCACUCGUCGAACUUUUACCCGAUGCCCGAUAAUCUUUUCCACCAGUAUCGGCUGCAAGGUGUAAGUGGCUACUAUCCCGAGUAUCAUACCAGCACUAGUGCAUCCACCUUUGUUCCUACUAACGGGCUUAUUCCGUACGACAGUUAUGGAAUCACUAAAGAGGACACCAUGCGGUGGCAUGAGGGGACAAAGAGUUACGGUGUUGGCAGCGAGUCGGGCCAAUCGCACCCGGCCAGUAACGAAUCGUCACAGCAACCGGAUGCGCCCGGUGGUGGAUGUGCCACAGGCGAAGCCACCUCCUAUCUUGUCAGUGGCUUCGCAGCUGCUCCCGGUACCGAUCCGAGAUCCCCUCAUGUCCCCAAGGGCUCGUGCCAGCAGGGCAAAAGUGUUUCCCCACACUCAUCCGAGGAGCUGGUCGAUCCUUGCUGUACCGUCGAUGGUAACGCCACACCGACCAAAGAUUCGAUCGAUCGUCACACUCACCAUGGCAACCAGUCGCAACAGCAUCAUGGAGCGCAAAACGCACAGCAACAACAUCACCAUCAUCCCGGUGCUCACCAUCAACCAGCUCACCACCAUCACCACCACCACACACACCACCACCAUCAGCAACAAACUCAACACCAUCAUGCAGUGCAGCAUCAUUCGGAUAUGCAACAGCAGCUCCAUGCGCAUGCCCAUCACCAUCCGCAUCCAUCGCACCGCCAUCGGAACGGUGAUGGAUCGGAGGAACACAAGUUGGCUAGCGCCAAGUCUUCGGCAUCCUCGUCACCGAUCCGUCACAGCGAACCACAGCGCCAGACCGUUCUUAUGUGGGGUACGUCCUAUAAUAACAGCGACCCAACAGGUGAUCCCCAUGCUAGCAGUAGCAAUGGUUCACCACCAUCCUACGAUUAUAUGGAUUCUGCGGGUAGCUUUAAUCUUGUAAACCUGCCAAAAUCUGGUUCCGUUGGUACCGCCCUUAGUAGUAAUGAAUUGAAUAAUAACGCUAAUAACUCUAUCAACACGAGUUCCACCACGGGCGAACAGACGCAUCAUCUUUCCGACCCAUCUACUAACAAUCCCAACCAAACGCAUCCAGUCACUUGCGAACCGUCUGCGCAACCAUCCAGCGACACGAUCCUGGAACCGAUCGAUAGCAAUUCCCGUGGGGUUGCAAAAACGAUCCCGACUCACAUGGCGCUUGCUAAAUCGAAAACCCUGCAGUCUGCCGAUUCCACCGGUGACACCAAUGCUUACACCGGUAAACAAUCAAAAGUCUAUGCUAAUCAUUCUAACCAACAACCACAACAACAACCAGCGACACAACUGCAGCACGUUACUGAACCACUCUCGGAUGGAACGACGGCUGUCGUUGCGAUGGAUCCGACCAACACUAUUCCUGCUUCCGCCGAUACUAAAUGGUAUUGCACAGAUGAUGCAUAACACUCAUUCGCGCUCUAGAUCCAGUGUACUAACACUAUCGUUUUGCCACUAAUGCAUGCAGCCCGCGCAACUAAUACCUGCCACCCCAUAUGCCUUGGUGUCGUGUUCGUCCUUUUUGCGUCAUUGCGUGGAAUACGUAAUUCCGCUGAUUUCUACUUGAUCAUGGUCGGCACCCAUGUGUAAUCCUGUGUGUACUAAUGGCACCACCGUUCCAAAACAUUAAAUAGUGCUCUCGAGCGCACCACUAGUGGAAAGGGGGCUAGAGAAGAGGGUGUGCGAGACUAAUAACUUUAUGAGGUGAUGCCCGACACAAGCGAUACACUGACCGAACCGAUUCCUUCGAUGUUACCAAGCGCGAACGAACAAAAUUACAUUGCUGACAUACAGCAAAAUUCAACUCCAUGGACAUGGC